GUCUCCGCCAUGGGCCUGCGCCGCCUCGGGACCGGGGUCAGGGUGCCACGGCUUACCAAUGGAAGAUUAGGCCAGAUGGCUCCUGAGAGUGCUUUGGGAGAUUCUCUGUUCCUUCUGGGAAUGGCAGGGAUAGGAGGGGGUCCCAGAAGUUUGAACGCUUUGGCAUCCAAGAAAUCACACUCCAAAUACUGCUCUUCUGGCCUCCCCUGGGCUGCCUUCUCCAACCGUGUUCCUGGGAACCGAAGGGCAGAAAUUGCCCUCUUGGGCUUAUAAACAAGGAGCUCCUGCCUGCCUGGAUGAAGAGGAGGUCAAGACUUUGUCCCCCACUCCGCAAGAUACCCUCUCUGUUCCGGAGCGGUGAGACAGGAUUUCACCAUGUUAGCCAGGAUGGUCUUGAUCUCCUGACCUCAUGAUCUGCCCACCUCGGCCUCCCAAAGUGCUGGGCUUACAGGCGUGAGCCACCGUGCCCGGCCAAAAAUAACUUUUAAAAACAUGAGUAUAGCAUACACACACACAAAAGUCCACAAAUCCUAGGUGUACCACUUGAUGAAUGAUCCCAACGUGAGCACACCUCUGGAUUACCACCUGGAUCAAGAAAUAGGACAUCACAGCAGCUGGCAGCUUCCAAGGAGAAGCUCUGGAAAGUUCUGCCUGUCUCAGCACCUGGCUGGAUCGGAAACGAGUUUUCUUUAACCAGAUUUUUAAUGACUGACUUAUGUGGACAAAUCAUAACUGAAUGAAUCACCUCCUUUGUUGAUUUUUUUGGGUACUUUAUUUGCUAUUAUAAAUGAUGCUGUAAUAAGCACCCUUGAAGAAAUCUUCAUAUCUGCCUCUCCUGUGUAGCAGGUCACAGUGCCUGGGUUUGGUUCUAGCCCUCAUUUGUGAACUGUGUGACUCACCAUGCCUUUUUUCUUUCUGUAAGACAGGAAUAAUGGUAAGAAUUUAAAUGGGGGUAAUAUGGAGCGCGUUUAGUUCAGAGCCUGGUGCAUACAAGCACUCAAUAAGUACUGGCGAUUAUUAGACCUUUAGAUUAAUUUAUUAGAAGUUGGAUUUCUGGUGAAAGGGUUUGAGUGUUUUUGAGGCUUUGGCACAGAAUACCCAGCUGGUCCCAGAAAGGUGGUUCCCAUUUACCUGCCCGAAGGUAAUUCACCCUUACUGAUACUGAGUACUGUUUUCUAAAAGAACAUUAAAAAUUGGAUAGGUUAAAAACAGGUGAAUACAUUUUUUUAGUUGCAUUUUUUUGGUUACCCGUGAGAGUGAACAUGUUGCCAUGUGUUUGCUGACCUCCUAAAUGGUCUAUUUGCUCCUACCUUUGUACCCCAAAAGUCUGCUCUCAAGAUGGUAGCCAGAAUGAUCCUUUUUGAGACAUAAGUCAAAAUUUCACUCUUCUCCUUAAAGCUCUGCAAUGGUUCUCAGGUUAAAAGCCAAAGUCCUGUUCAAGGCCUCCAGGGUCCUCACCACUUGGUCCCUUGCUCUUUCUGUUCUAGCCAACUUGGCCUUCUCCUGCCCCUCCGCCGCACCAUGGCAAUUUCCCCUGCUCUGUGUGGUCAACUACCUGAAUCUGUUCAAAGCUUUGCUCAAAUGUCUCCUUCCUGAUGAGACCUCCCCAGCCCCUGAGCUCCCCAUGCCUCACUCCUGAUCGCCUUACUUAACCCUUCUUUUUCUUUUUUGCCAGUAGUACUUAUCACCGUCUAAAAUACUUCAUAAUUUACUUGUUUAUUGUUUGCCCCUCUCCAAUAGAAUGUAAGCUCCUUGGGGCAGGGACCUUUGUCCUUUGUCUUGUUCACUGCUGUGUCCCAUGUGUAAACUUGUCUGGCACAGAAGAGGUGCUCGAUAAAUAUUUGUUGAGUGAAUGAAUGGUAAAUUUUCUGUUCAUAUUCUUUGACUAUUUUCUAUUGUAAUGUUCAUCUUUUUAGUAUUGGUUUAUAAGAUGUAUAUUUAGCACCUUUUCAUAUAUCACUCUUUGUCACAUAUUAUGCAACUAAUUUGUCAUUUCCAUCAAUUUUUAAAAUACUUUCUUGAUGCUUCAUUUUUAAGCUGUCAGAUUAUUAAUCUUUUCUUUAUGGUCUUGGACUUUAUUGUUGCAUAACCGCUGCCUUCACCAGGAACAUAUAAAUUUUCAAUUAAAUGUUCUUCUGAGA
rnacentral:lncRNA from 1 species